CACCUCAGGGCAACUCCUGGCUAGGGCCCAUGUGGUACCCACAGGGGCUACGUGACCUGCACAGGUGGCAGUGAGCACAGCUGGGCAGCCUCUAGGACCAGGAAGUGGGCCUGACUUUUUCUGAGCUGUUAACAGACACCAGAGACGUGCUGGCCUCGCAGGAGGCCUGGAGCCAGGCUGAGCCUCGUUUUCUCUCUCCACCACGAAACCUGAGGUUGGGUGGGCUCUUCAUGCCCCAGGCCAUGACCUCUCCUUGUUAAUGAGCCAUGAAUCGGUAGCAUUUCUGUGUGUCCCUUCUGAAAUUACCUUCUAACAUGCAUCGCUUUUCUGCCGGGCCCAUUUGUGCCCCUUCUGUUACAAGCCAUGAUGGCGACUUGCAGAGUGGUCUGGGCUUCGGCCUCCAGCCCUCCUGAUGGCCUGGGUGGGCCCCAGUUCCAUGUCUCCUCUCAGUUCCGUCACAGAUUGGGACCCAACGGGAGGAGAGCGGGGCAGAGGACUGCAUGGUGAGGACGGCGCUGGCAGGCAGGCAGCGCCCCUGAGGGAGCCCCCCGGAAUGGGACUUCCUGGACAGCCGCCCCAUCCACGCAGACUCCCUCCUGGACCCCUCUGGGGCCUGCAUUCCCGCCCUGCAGGAGGGGAUGGUGUGAAGGGGAGCUCUGUGGUCGGCACCCAGCGGCACUUGGCCACUGUGGCCCCAAGUCUUUGGAAGGUCCUCCUUUUUUGUCCACCAUUCCCGGUGGAGCUGCACUCCCAGGAGACUCCACCAGCUGAACUCCUGUCCCAGCUGGAGCAAGCUGAGCCCACUGAGGCACAGCCCACGGGACCAGCUCCAGCCCCAGGUGAAGUCCCACGUGUGGAGCCUGAGCCAGCUCCACCUGCAGAGCUUCCUGCCCAGCGCUGGGACCACAGCCAGAGUCCAUGGAAGCCCCUUCACCUGCUGCAGUGCUGGGUCACCCGGUGGCUGCACGGCGGUCAGUGUCACCUCCUGAGCCCUGCCUGGGGCCAGCUCCUGGCCCCCUCCCACUGUUCCCCCUCACUUACGGUGGCUCUUGUUUUGGUAUUUACAAUUGCCCUUAUUUCUUGGAUUUAUAUAAAUAAUAGAACUAGUUUUUAAUAAAACUUAAAA
rnacentral:lncRNA from 1 species